AAUUAUCUUCCAGUGCACGCACAAAAACAAUAAAAACUGUUAGUUUGCAAAAGAAAAUCACGUUGAUGACAACGUUUUUGUUCCACCCGACAACAUCAAUGAUGGGAACCGCUUAAACGAAUAAAAUCAAAAAAUGCAAAUGAGGUUCAAAAUUAAAUAUAAAUUAUCUUACCUUCAACACUUACAGCCGAAUUGGCUUCAAUUCGACCACCGUUGGGUCUCACACAGUACUGUUUAGGAGCAGUAGUUUUCACUUUGAAUCCGAUCGGAUAAGGUGCAGUAUUGCGAAGUUCUAAAUCACAUUUUACUAGUCGUGUAAGUGGUCGAGGAAACACAAUUGUACUAUCACAUUCAAGAGCCAUGAUUUACGGGAAAGGCGAGUUUGUUGCGAGAGGUGGUACUACUUUACUCUGCGAAGUACCAUUUCGCAGUGUAGCCAAAAAUCGUGGCUUUACGUCACACAUACUUGUGUGUGAUUUUCCGAGGCUGAGCAAAGAUUAUGGUAAUAUAUGGAUACUGAAAUAAAAGGAGAUAAUUAU